GCAGCUGAGAGUUGUGAACUGUUAAUGACAGCUCUGCUUUUAAAGAUCCCAAUUCUUCCUGACAUUUCUGCAGAGGAGAAAUUUUUUGAAGCAUCUGUUCCACUUGGUGAUGCAGAGUACUGUUCUCUCUAAAAAUGGACAAAAGUAUCCACAGUAAAUUACUACACAUAUAGUCUCACGAUCUGAGAUUUCUAACUUGGAACAAAAAAUCUAUAAAAUCUCUUUUCAAACACAUUCCUUCUACUUAUUACUAACACAACAUUGGUACAGCUUUUAAUUUCUUGGAAACAGACUGCUUUUGACAAAAAUAUUAUCAAAAAGCAACUUGAGAAACAGUGUGCCUGACUUCCGGUCCACUGGAGAAGAUUUCCAAGAACUGUGUGCCAAGCCCGCUGGCGCAUCCAACCUUGGGCCUAUUUAUUCAAACUAAGUGGCACGGAGUUUUGGGAUUUGGUUUAUAAUCACACUUUCCCUUCUUGUAAGUGAUGAAUGCAAUGAGAACAUGAAACAUGCUAAAUUUUAAGUAGGUCCAUUUUAAAUUGUUUAAAAUGACACAGGAUAAACAACCACAAGAAGUCAGAUUCAUGUAGAUAACAGUAAUGUGAGAGCAAUAAACUUCAUCUCAAGGGCAAUGUAGUCACUAAAAGUUACUGAAAAGUGAAACACCAGGCUUAACUUAAAAGCCUCAGUAAUAAAUUCAUUUCACUGAUUCGAUACUUGGGAAAAUGCUAAUCUUCUUUUACUUGAGCAUCAAAGCAACAUUCUCUUAUAAGAGUCAGUCUAGGUCCUCUUUGUUAGAAUCUGUUAGAAAAUCUGUGUAAUGGCAUCCAUUCCAAAUCAAGUACUGCGACAAAUCAUCUCGGCAACUGUUAAAACACACGUACGCUGGCUCACCUUCUUGCAAACUGCAGCUGUGAAACUUAUUAAGGAAAACACUGAAAAUUCAAGCUUGUGAUACUUGUCUGGAGAUAAAAUCCACUUUAUAAUUAUCUUUAAGAUUCUAUGUUCAAUGUACACACAGGCAAGAUCAUAAACCCUAAAAAACAAUAUUCAUG
rnacentral:lncRNA from 1 species